ACAGCUCCUUACAGCUAUGUCGGGCAGAAGCCCCCAGACACCCAGGCUGUUGUGAAUGCAGCCUGUUUUACUCCAAGAGGGUCUGCCUCCCCUGUGUUCAGAAGAAUAUCAGUGCUUUCCCUCAGGAAAUCCAGCAGGAUGUGGAGAAGAGAAAGGGUGCCAGCAAGAAGCACUCCAACCGUCCCUGACUGGCAGGGGCACAGCCUCCUGUGAAGCAUUGGGCUGGGCUAGGCCCGGAUUCCAGCUGGGAGCUGUGUAUCUGGUCUUCUCUGAACUGUGUGGGGUACGUGCAGUCUCAGGAACUGAGGAACUGGCCAAGACUGAGGACAGACAGCAGGAGUGUAGCCAGCUGGAGCUCCAGACCUGGCCGCUAGUGGAGGCCAGGAGUGAGGGAGAGGGGCCUCCAUUUGAUAGCUGGUAGACACUUCCUGUAGAUGUACAUGCAGGCUUCUCUCCAGACAUCCACAUAACACAGUGUCAUCAUCUGUCAUCUAGGGAAAUCAGCCUCUGAGGGACAGAGGGUAUGCAAGGGUUAUGUCACAUCCUCUAUAACCGCCUUGGACAUGAUUUAAACCUUGACUCUGUAUCAUAUUUAUAAUUAAAAACCCGAAGGAU
rnacentral:lncRNA from 1 species